rnacentral:lncRNA from 1 species
CUUCAGAGGAGUUAGCGAAAUUCCAAUGUGUGCAAAUCGCCAAAAACUGCAAAAUUGCCCUUUAACCGUACAUUUUACAGAUACGUGCCCAUUAACUUUUUCGUAGAUCUUAUUGAAAUACACGUGUAUGUCAAAUUUUGUGUCAAUACAACAAAGCAUACAGGCGUAGCACUCAACAAUGUGUAUUUUCACCUUAGUGGACAAGAAAAAAUUGACUUUUUUCUCCUGCCAUGGGGGGGCGCUCUUUUGGGGAGUAAAAAUUCCUUCACAAAUGUGUUGAUGGCUGGACAUUGCAUCAUCCUAGAAAACUUGGAGGCCAGUGGGGACAACAAUAAAAAGUGAAAAGACUUCAAAAAAUGUGGAUAUUUGGGUCAUCUUUGGCGCCCCCUAGAACGUAAACCGUGGGGUGCAGCGUCAUGAUUUGAAUAACUUUUAAUGGCCAUGGGGUGUAGAUUGGCCUGAGCAAAUGUUGUGCCGGUGGAACUCAAGCCUUCGGAGGAGUUAGCCACAUUCCAAUGUGUGCGGAUCAGCAAAAAAUGCGGAAUAACCCUUUAAUCGUACAUUUGACAGAUACGCGCCCAUUGACUUUUUUGUAGAUCUUAUUGAGAUACAUGUGUGUGUCAAUUUUUGUGUCAUUUUGACAAAGCAUACAGGCGUGACACUCAACAAUGUGUAUUUUCACCUUAGUGGACAAGAAAAAAUUGACUUUUUUCUCCUGCCAUGGGGGGGCGCUCUUUUGGGAAGUAAAAAUUCCUUCACAAAUGUGUUGAUGGCUGGACAUUGCAUCAUCCUAGAAAACUUGGAGGCCAGUGAGGACAAAAAGAAAAAGUUAUAAGACUUUUAAAUAUGUGGAUUUUAGGGUUAUUUUUGGCGCCCCCUAGAACCUAAACCGUGGGGUGCAGCGUCAUGAUUUGAAUAACUUUUAAUGGCCAUGGGGUGUAGAUUGGCCUGAGCAAAUGUGGUGCCGGUGGAACGAAAGCCUUCAGAGGAGUUAGCGAAAUUCCAAUGUUUGCGGAUCAGCAAAAAAUGCGAAAUAACCCUUUAACCAUACAUUUGACAAAUACGCCCGCACUGACUUUUUUGUAGAUCUUAUUUAGAUACAUAUGUGUGUCAAUUUUGGUGUCAAUAUGACAAAGCGUACAGGCGUGACAGUCAAUAGUGUGAAUUUACACCUUAGGGGGCGCUAUGGAGCCAUUUUGCAUUUUAUUGCCUGGACGACUUCAGAAUAUCAAAUUUUUCACGAGGCCCGGUCGUCCUGCCAAAUUUCAUGAGUUUUUGCCAGUGGGAAGUGGGCCAUUUUCCAGUUCAAAGGGGAGGAAAAAGAAGAAACUAGGGCCCCGUUGGGGCACUGGCGGGCCCGAGCCGUGUCACGCCGCCCCCAGCGCGACCGCCUCCCCCACCCGAUCGCGUCACACUCAAGGUCCAAAGAUGGUGUGCGCACUUGUUUGUGGUCAUUUACCAUUAUAAUGAACGGGAGGCGCAGUUUCUACCAAAACGCUCGCUGCAGAAAAACUCCAUGUCCUAUUUGAAAAAAGUCUGGACCAUGAGUGAGGGCACAAACACAGCUAAGAUAUAUCCAAAUGGCAAGUUGCUCCUCCUUUCGCUUUUGCCGAGAGAGCAGUGCGUUUGAGCCAUUGAAUGAUGAACAGGAAAAACUUGACUUUAUUCUCCUGCCAUGGGGGGGCGCUCUUUUAAAGAGAAAAAACUCCUUCACAAAUGUGUUGAUGGCUGGACAUUGCAUCAUCCUAGAAAACAUGGAGGCCAGUGAGGACAAAAAUAAAAAGUUAUAAGACUUUUAAAUAUGUGGAUUUUAGGGUUAUCUUUGGCGCCCCCUAGAACCUAAACCGUGGGGUGCAGCGUCAUGAUUUGAAUAACUUUUAAUGGCCAUGGGGUGUAGAUUGGCCUGAGCAAAUGUGGUGCCGGUGGAACGAAAGCCUUCGGAGGAAUUAGCGAAAUUCCAAUGUGUGCGAAUCUGCAAAAAAUGCGAAAUAACCCUUUAACCGUACAUUUUACAGAUACGUGGCCAUUGACUUUUUCGAAGAUCUUAUUGAAAUACACGUGUAUGUAAAAUUUUGUGUCAAUACGACAAAACAUACAGGCGUAGCACUCAACAAUGUGUAUUUUCACCUUAGUGGACAAGAAAAAAUUGACUUUUUUCUCCUGCCAUGGGGGGCGCUCUUUUGCCGAGUAAAAAUUCCUUCACAAAUGUGUUGAUGGCUGGACAUUGCAUCAUCCUAGAAAACUUGGAGGCCAGUGGGGACAAAAAUAAAAAGUUAUAAGACUUUUAAAUAUGUGGAUUUUACGGUUAUCUUUGGCUCCCCCUAGAACCUAAACCGUGGGGUGCAGCGUCAUGAUUUGAAUAACUUUUAAUGGCCAUGGGGUGUAGAUUGGCCUGAGCAAAUGUGGUGCCGGUGGAACGAAAGCCUUCGGAGGAGUUAGCGAAAUUCCAAUGUGUGUUGAUCGGCAAAAAAUGCGGAAUAACCCUUUAACCGUACAUUUGACAGAUACGCGCGCAUUGACUUUUUCGUAGAUCUUAUUGAGAUACAUGUGUGUGUCAAUUUUUGUGUCAUUUUGCCAAAGCGUACAGGUGUUACACUCAACAAUGUGUAUUUUCACCUUAGGGGACAAGAAAAAAUUGACUUUUUUCUCCUGCCAUGGGGGGGCGCUCUUUUGGGGAGUAAAAAUUCCUUCACAAAUGUGUUGAUGGCUGGACAUUGCAUCAUCCUAGAAAACUUGGAGGCCAGUGAGGGCAAAAAUAAAAAGUUAUAAG